CUGACGAGCGGCGGACGGGUGAGUAAUGCCUAGGGAACUGCCCAGUCGAGGGGGAUAACAGUUGGAAACGACUGCUAAUACCGCAUACGCCCUACGGGGGAAAAGAGGGGACCUUCGGGCCUUCUGCGAUUGGAUGUACCUAGGUGGGAUUAGCUAGUAGGUGAGGUAAUGGCUCACCUAGGCGACGAUCCCUAGCUGUUCUGAGAGGAUGAUCAGCCACACUGGGACUGAGACACGGCCCAGACUCCUACGGGAGGCAGCAGUGGGGAAUAUUGCACAAUGGGCGCAAGCCUGAUGCAGCCAUGCCGCGUGUGUGAAGAAGGCCUUCGGGUUGUAAAGCACUUUCAGCGAGGAGGAAAGGUUAAGUGUUAAUAGCACUUAGCUGUGACGUUACUCGCAGAAGAAGCACCGGCUAACUUCGUGCCAGCAGCCGCGGUAAUACGAGGGGUGCAAGCGUUAAUCGGAAUUACUGGGCGUAAAGCGUACGCAGGCGGUUUGUUAAGCGAGAUGUGAAAGCCCCGGGCUCAACCUGGGAACUGCAUUUCGAACUGGCAAACUAGAGUCUUGUAGAGGGGGGUAGAAUUUCAGGUGUAGCGGUGAAAUGCGU
rnacentral:rRNA from 1 species